rnacentral:tRNA from 1 species
UAGAUGACUGAAAGAAAGUAUUGGUCUCUUAAACCACUCUAUAGUAAAUUCACGCUUACUUCUAAUGA